UACGUAGGGACCAAGCGUUGUUCGGAUUUACUGGGCGUAAAGGGCGCGUAGGCGGCUUGACAAGUCACUUGUGAAAUCUCCGGGCUUAACUCGGAACGGCCAAGUGAAACUGUCAUGCUAGAGUGCAGAAGGGGCAAUCGGAAUUCUUGGUGUAGCGGUGAAAUGCGUAGAGUAUCAAGAGGAACACCUGAGGUGAAGACGGGUUGCUGGGCUGACACUGACGCUGAGGCGCGAAAGCCAGGGGAGCAAACGGG
rnacentral:rRNA from 1 species